UACGUAGGGUGCGAGCGUUAAUCGGAAUUACUGGGCGUAAAGCGUGCGUAGGCGGUUCUCCAAGUCCGUUGUGAAAGCCCCGGGCUCAACCUGGGAAUGGCAGUGGAAACUAGGGGACUGGAAUCUGGCAGAGGGGGGUGGAAUGCCGCGUGUAGCAGUGAAAUGCGUAGAGAUGCGGCGGAACACCGAUGGCGAAGGCAGCCCCCUGGGCUGAGAUUGACGCUCAGGCACGAAAGCGUGGGGAGAAACAGGAUUAGAAACCCU
rnacentral:rRNA from 1 species